UCUGCACAUUGUUAGAGCUCGGCGUUGAAGCCACUGGCCGAUGAACUCACAAGUAUAGGCAGUGUGCUAAAUGAGGAGCAAGUUUUUCUCUAGCACCUCAAGGGUCUCUGGCCUAAAGUAUGGAGUUUGAUAGUAAUACUUGCUAUAAAA
ensembl:snoRNA SNORA62 Small nucleolar RNA SNORA62/SNORA6 family